UAUACACCUAUACUAUUGCUAGAACUACCCUUAUACAUAGUGCGUAAUAUACUAUCUUACAUGUACUUAUAUAAACUUAUUUAUAUAUAACACUUAUUAUUUGCGGCUGCGGCCGGCUUACAUAUUCAUGUACCUGUAUUUACCUGGCUUUAAAUUCAGCACAGCGACCUAGGGAAGCCGCAGAAAACCUGGUCGAGGCUUUUAAGGUAUUAUCUGCUCAAUAAAUUAUAUCAGAUGCGGAA